CGAAGGGAAACCGAGUCUUAACCGGGCGUUAAGUUGCAGGGUAUAGACCCGAAACCCGGUGAUCUAGCCAUGGGCAGGUUGAAGGUUGGGUAACACUAACUGGAGGACCGAACCGACUAAUGUUGAAAAAUUAGCGGAUGACUUGUGGCUGGGGGUGAAAGGCCAAUCAAACCGGGAGAUAGCUGGUUCUCCCCGAAAGCUAUUUAGGUAGCGCCUCGUGAAUUCAUCUCCGGGGGUAGAGCACUGUUUCGGCAAGGGGGUCAUCCCGACUUACCAACCCGAUGCAAACUGCGAAUACCGGAGAAUGUUAUCACGGGAGACACACGGCGGGUGCUAACGUCCGUCGUGAAGAGGGAAACAACCCAGACCGCCAGCUAAGGUCCCAAAGUCAUGGUUAAGUGGGAAACGAUGUGGGAAGGCCCAGACAGCCAGGAUGUUGGCUUAGAAGCAGCCAUCAUUUAAAGAAAGCGUAAUAGCUCACUGGUCGAGUCGGCCUGCGCGGAAGAUGUAACGGGGCUAAACCAUGCACCGAAGCUGCGGCAGCGACACUGUGUGUUGUUGGGUAGGGGAGCGUUCUGUAAGCCUGUGAAGGUGUACUGUGAGGUAUGCUGGAGGUAUCAGAAGUGCGAAUGCUGACAUAAGUAACGAUAAAGCGGGUGAAAAGCCCGCUCGCCGGAAGACCAAGGGUUCCUGUCCAACGUUAAUCGGGGCAGGGUGAGUCGACCCCUAAGGCGAGGCCGAAAGGCGUAGUCGAUGGGAAACAGGUUAAUAUUCCUGUACUUGGUGUUACUGCGAAGGGGGGACGGAGAAGGCUAUGUUGGCCGGGCGACGGUUGUCCCGGUUUAAGCGUGUAGGCUGGUUUUCCAGGCAAAUCCGGAAAAUCAAGGCUGAGGCGUGAUGACGAGGCACUACGGUGCUGAAGCAACAAAUGCCCUGCUUCCAGGAAAAGCCUCUAAGCAUCAGGUAACAUCAAAUCGUACCCCAAACCGACACAGGUGGUCAGGUAGAGAAUACCAAGGCGCUUGAGAGAACUCGGGUGAAGGAACUAGGCAAAAUGGUGCCGUAACUUCGGGAGAAGGCACGCUGAUAUGUAGGUGAAGUCCCUCGCGGAUGGAGCUGAAAUCAGUCGAAGAUACCAGCUGGCUGCAACUGUUUAUUAAAAACACAGCACUGUGCAAACACGAAAGUGGACGUAUACGGUGUGACGCCUGCCCGGUGCCGGAAGGUUAAUUGAUGGGGUCAGCGCAAGCGAAGCUCUUGAUCGAAGCCCCGGUAAACGGCGGCCGUAACUAUAACGGUCCUAAGGUAGCGAAAUUCCUUGUCGGGUAAGUUCCGACCUGCACGAAUGGCGUAAUGAUGGCCAGGCUGUCUCCACCCGAGACUCAGUGAAAUUGAACUCGCUGUGAAGAUGCAGUGUACCCGCGGCAAGACGGAAAGACCCCGUGAACCUUUACUAUAGCUUGACACUGAACAUUGAGCCUUGAUGUGUAGGAUAGGUGGGAGGCUUUGAAGUGUGGACGCCAGUCUGCAUGGAGCCGACCUUGAAAUACCACCCUUUAAUGUUUGAUGUUCUAACGUGGACCCGUGAUCCGGGUUGCGGACAGUGUCUGGUGGGUAGUUUGACUGGGGCGGUCUCCUCCUAAAGAGUAACGGAGGAGCACGAAGGUUGGCUAAUCCUGGUCGGACAUCAGGAGGUUAGUGCAAUGGCAUAAGCCAGCUUGACUGCGAGCGUGACGGCGCGAGCAGGUGCGAAAGCAGGUCAUAGUGAUCCGGUGGUUCUGAAUGGAAGGGCCAUCGCUCAACGGAUAAAAGGUACUCCGGGGAUAACAGGCUGAUACCGCCCAAGAGUUCAUAUCGACGGCGGUGUUUGGCACCUCGAUGUCGGCUCAUCACAUCCUGGGGCUGAAGUAGGUCCCAAGGGUAUGGCUGUUCGCCAUUUAAAGUGGUACGCGAGCUGGGUUUAGAACGUCGUGAGACAGUUCGGUCCCUAUCUGCCGUGGGCGCUGGAGAACUGAGGGGGGCUGCUCCUAGUACGAGAGGACCGGAGUGGACGCAUCACUGGUGUUCGGGUUGUCAUGCCAAUGGCACUGCCCGGUAGCUAAAUGCGGAAGAGAUAAGUGCUGAAAGCAUCUAAGCACGAAACUUGCCCCGAGAUGAGUUCUCCCUGACCCUUUAAGGGUCCUGAAGGAACGUUGAAGACGACGACGUUGAUAGGCCGGGUGUGUAAGCGCAGCGAUGCGUUGAGCUAACCGGUACUAAUGAACCGUGAGGCUUAACCUUACAACGCCGAAGGUGUUU
rnacentral:rRNA from 1 species